UACAGAGGGGGCAAGCGUUGUUCGGAAUUACUGGGCGUAAAGGGCGCGUAGGCGGCCUUCUAAGUCGAACGUGAAAUCCCUGGGCUCAACCCAGGAACUGCGUCCGAUACUGGGAGGCUUGAAUCCGGGAGAGGGAUGUGGAAUUCCAGGUGUAGCGGUGAAAUGCGUAGAUAUCGGGAGGAACACCAGUGGCGAAGGCGGCCUGCUGGACAUUAACUGACGCUGAGGCGCGAAAGUGUGGGGAGCAAACAGG
rnacentral:rRNA from 1 species